GGAGAGGGUGGUGGUGGCGACGGAGAAGGAGGCGGCGGUGAAGGAGAAGGAGGCGGUGGCGACGGAGAAGGAGGUGGUGGCGACGGAGAAGGAGGUGGUGGCGACGGAGAAGGAGGUGGUGGCGACGGAGAAGGAGGUGGUGGCGACCGAGAGGGGGGUGGUGGGGGCGGAGGUGGCGGACGAUGGCGAGGAAACCACCAAGGUCUUUCCCGCUGCGCAGAAACCGAGGACGCCAAGAGAAGGUUCAGCAAGAGGACUGCAGUGAUGACGCUGAAUUUGGAAGCCAUGACAAUGGAGAUGGCUGCGCGAACGAACGGCGAUUGAGUGAUACACUGCUCCUUCU
rnacentral:lncRNA from 1 species